UACGUAGGUGGCAAGCGUUGUCCGGAUUUACUGGGCGUAAAGAGCGCGCAGGCGGUCGUUCAAGUCGCGUGUGAAAGCCCCCGGCUCAACUGGGGAGGGUCACGCGAUACUGAUCGACUCGAAGGCAGGAGAGGGUAGUGGAAUUCCUGGUGUAGCGGUGAAAUGCGCAGAUAUCAGGAAGAACACCCGUAGCGAAGGCGGCUCUCUGGGACGGUACUGACGCUGAGACGCGAAAGCGUGGGGAGCGAACAGG
rnacentral:rRNA from 1 species